AGAAUUUCCUUUACAAAAGCUUGAUCACAAAAUACAACAAGCAAUAAUAAUGCCGGGAUGGAAAUAUAAUGGCGUUUUCCGCCCACAAUGAGAUGGGCCAAAAUGAGAGAAUAGAAAAAGUUAGUUCUAAAACCUAUUCACCGCGAACAGGCGACUCAGAAUCGAAGUUUAUACCAAAUCCUUCUGCUCAGCCAUUUGUGCCGAAGUGGAACUUAAGUACACCAGAGAAAUUGAACAGCUACUUGGCACAGCUUCAGUUUGUUGUUUCACUGAGCAUAUUUAGAAAAUAUAGUCGUGUCUCCCAGCUUCUGUUUUGG